ensembl:lncRNA
AUGAUAAACCUUCAACAGACCUCAGAGCCUAAUGAAGAUCCUGCUGAGAAGCCUGAAUAUAAGAGUCCUGUUAAAGCCAAGCAUAGUGAUUUGGAUCAUGACAAAGAGAAGAUCUCCAGAGAAGAUAAGCUUCUGUCAUCUGAAGGAACUUUACAGGAACAUAAACAGGAUGAGGAUCUCCUGUCCCCUUUUUCUGAUCCUCCAAACGAACCUGCAAGCAACAUGUCUGAUAUGGACAUGAUGCAGUUUAGUGAGUCUGCAGCUGAAGACGUUCAAAUACCAGACGAGCAGGAUUCAGAAAAUCAGGACGGCACAGAGGAGCCAUCAGAAGCUUCUGAGGUAGAGUCCUGAAAAACAAUACCUUGUGUAUUCUGUGUUUGCUGAAUGGAAUAAACAACUUUUGAAUUAAUGAUUUUCUUUCUGG